UACAGAGGUCUCAACCGUUGUUCGGAUUCAUUGGGCGUAAAGGGUGCGUAGGCGGCGGGGUAAGUCAGGUGUGAAAUCUCGGGGCUCAACCCCGAAACUGCACUUGAUACUGCCUCGCUUGAGUACUGGAGAGGAGACUGGAAUUUACGGUGUAGCAGUGAAAUGCGUAGAUAUCGUAAGGAAGACCAGUGGCGAAGGCGAGUCUCUGGACAGUUACUGACGCUGAGGCACGAGGGCCAGGGGAGCAAACGGG
rnacentral:rRNA from 1 species